rnacentral:rRNA from 2 species
GUAAACGAUGAAUGCUAGGUGUUGGAGGGUUUCCGCCCUUCAGUGCCGCAGCUAACGCAUUAAGCAUUCCGCCUGGGGAGUACGACCGCAAGGUUGAAACUCAAAGGAAUUGACGGGGGCCCGCACAAGCGGUGGAGCAUGUGGUUUAAUUCGAAGCAACGCGAAGAACCUUACCAGGUCUUGACAUCUUUUGAUCACCUGAGAGAUCAGGUUUCCCCUUCGGGGGCAAAAUGACAGGUGGUGCAUGGUUGUCGUCAGCUCGUGUCGUGAGAUGUUGGGUUAAGUCCCGCAACGAGCGCAACCCUUAUGACUAGUUGCCAGCAUUUAGUUGGGCACUCUAGUAAGACUGCCGGUGACAAACCGGAGGAAGGUGGGGAUGACGUCAAAUCAUCAUGCCCCUUAUGACCUGGGCUACACACGUGCUACAAUGGAUGGUACAACGAGUUGCGAGACCGCGAGGUCAAGCUAAUCUCUUAAAGCCAUUCUCAGUUCGGACUGUAGGCUGCAACUCGCCUACACGAAGUCGGAAUCGCUAGUAAUCGCGGAUCAGCACGCCGCGGUGAAUACGUUCCCGGGCCUUGUACACACCGCCCGUCACACCAUGAGAGUUUGUAACACCCGAAGCCGGUGGCGUAACCCUUUUAGGGAGCGAGCCGUCUAAGGUGGGACAAAUGAAUAGGGUGAAGUCGA